AAGACUAUACUUUCAGGGACCAUUUCUACAGUUCAUCACUAGAGAAGUUUCUCUGACCAUGUAGAAUACAGGAAACCACGAGGAUGAGGUGCAGUGUUCUCUCCUGAGCGUGAAGCCUGCUCUUGUUGCUUUGCUGCAACUGCUACUUGCCAUUGAUGAUCAUUCCUGCCCUCCUUGGAGAAGCUGGAGGGAGAGCACGCAGUCUGAGUG